rnacentral:rRNA from 1 species
UACGAAGGGGGCUAGCGUUGUUCGGAAUCACUGGGCGUAAAGGGCGCGUAGGCGGCCGAUCAAGUCGGGGGUGAAAGCCUGUGGCUCAACCACAGAAUUGCCUUCGAUACUGUUUGGCUUGAGACCGGAAGAGGUUAGUGGAACUGCGAGUGUAGAGGUGAAAUUCGUAGAUAUUCGCAAGAACACCAGUGGCGAAGGCGGCUGACUGGUCCGGUUCUGACGCUGAGGUGCGAAAAGC